rnacentral:rRNA from 1 species
UACGGGGGGGGCAAGCGUUGUUCGGAAUUACUGGGCGUAAAGGGCUCGUAGGCGGCCAACUAAGUCAGACGUGAAAUCCCUCGGCUUAACCGGGGAACUGCGUCUGAUACUGGAUGGCUUGAGGUUGGGAGAGGGAUGCGGAAUUCCAGGUGUAGCGGUGAAAUGCGUAGAUAUUGGGUGGAACACCGGUGGCGAAAGCGGCUCUCUGGUCCGGACCUGACGCUGAGGCGCGAAAGCGUGGGGAGCAAACAGG